CAUUCCUUUGUGGUGCAGCAGGUUAAGGAUCCAGCAUUGUCACUGCAGCAGCUUGAGUUACUGCUGUAGCUUGAGUUUGAUCCCUGGCCUUGGAACUUCCACAUGCCUUAGGUGUGGCCCAAAAAAAAAAGUCCAAAGCACCUGUCACCUUCCCUUAGGCACUUGACCCAUUAUCUGCUUUUUGUCAAGGGUCUAGUAAUCUGUAGCUCACAAGUCAAAUCCAUCUGACACACUAUUUUUUGUUUUGUUUGUCUUGUUUUUCUUUUUAUGAAAUCAAGUUAUUCCUUUUUAAAAAAUUUUAUUGAAAUAUAGUUGACUUACAAUUUUGUUAUAGCUGUAAAGUGAUUCCGUUAUAUAGAAUAUACAUAUAUGUAAAAUCUUUUCCAUUAUAGGUUAUAGCUGUAAAGUGAUUCUGUUAUAUAGAAUAUACAUAUAUGUAAAAUCUUUUCCAUUAUAGGUUAUUAUAAGAUAUUGAGCAUCACCCUGUGCUAUACAGUAAGUCCUUGUUGGUUAUCUAUUUUAUAUAUAGUGAUGUAAAUAUUUUAAUCCCAAGCUCCUAAUUUGUCCCUCUCCCUCUUCCUCCUUGGUAACCAUAAAUAUGUUUUCCAUGUCUGUCAGUCUAUUUCUAUUUUGUAAAUAAGUUCUUUUGUAUCAUUUUUUUUAGAUUUCACACAUAAAGUGCUAUCACAGGAUAUUUGUCUUUGUUGUCUUACUUCACUUACUAUGAUAGUCUCUAGGUCCACUCAUGUUGCUGCAAAUGGUAUUAUUUCAUUCUUUUUUAUGGCUGAGUAAUAUUCCAUUUGUAUAUAUGAAUCUCAUCUUCUUUAUCCAAUCCUCUGGUGAUGGACAUUUAGGUUGUUUCCAUGUCUUGGCUAUUGUAUAUAGUGCUGCUGUGAACACUGGGCGCAUGUAUCUUUUCAAAUUAUGUUUUUCUCUGGAUGUAUACCUAGGAGUGGGAUUGCAGGAUCAUGUGGUAACUCUAUUAGUGGAUUUUUUGUUGUUGCUGUUGUCUUUUUAGGGCCACAGCCUAUGGAAGUUCCCACCCUAGAGGUCAAAUCGGAGCUCUAGCUGGUGGCCUACACCACAGCUCAUGGCAGCAACGCCCGAUUCUUAACCCACUAAGCAAGGCCAGGGAUCAGACUUGCAUCCUCAUGGAUCCUAGUCAGAUUUGUUUCUGCUGAGCCAUGACUGGAAUUCCCAGUAACCAUUAGUCUUUUAAGGAACCACCGUACUCCUUUUCAUGGUGGCUAUUCCAGUUGACAUCCCCAUCAACAGUGCAGGAGGGUUCUUUUCUCCAUACCUUUGUCGGCAUUUAUUAUUUGUAGGCUCUUUGAUGAUAGCCAUAUUGAACGGUGUGAGGUGACACCUUAUUAUAGUUUUGAUUUGCAUUUCUCUAAUAAUUAGCAAUGUUGAGCAUCUUUUCAUGUGCCUUUGGCCAUCUGUAU
rnacentral:lncRNA from 1 species